rnacentral:rRNA from 1 species
GAUGAACGCUGGCGGCGUGCCUAAUACAUGCAAGUCGAGCGAACAGAUGAGGAGCUUGCUCCUCUGACGUUAGCGGCGGACGGGUGAGUAACACGUGGAUAACCUACCUAUAAGACUGGGAUAACUUCGGGAAACCGGAGCUAAUACCGGAUAAUAUAUUGAACCGCAUGGUUCAAUAGUGAAAGACGGUUUUGCUGUCACUUAUAGAUGGAUCCGCGCCACAUUAGCUAGUUGGUAAGGUAACGGCUUACCAAGGCAACGAUGCGUAGCCGACCUGAGAGGGUGAUCGGCCACACUGGAACUGAGACACGGUCCAGACUCCUACGGGAGGCAGCAGUAGGGAAUCUUCCGCAAUGGGCGAAAGCCUGACGGAGCAACGCCGCGUGAGUGAUGAAGGUCUUCGGAUCGUAAAACUCUGUUAUUAGGGAAGAACAAAUGUGUAAGUAACUAUGCACGUCUUGACGGUACCUAAUCAGAAAGCCACGGCUAACUACGU